AUUGUGCAGUGAUUAUUAAACAUUCCUCGUACAGAUGGGAUAUCCUCGUGAACGACUUCUAUACACCCAUAGAAUCUGAGCACC
rfam:Triticum aestivum genome assembly, contig: Triticum_aestivum_CS42_TGACv1_scaffold_222934_3B